rfam:Algoriphagus sp. A40 NODE_42_length_17923_cov_9.51882_ID_83, whole genome shotgun sequence.
UUAGGCGGCCUAGCGCAGGGGUCCCACCUCUUCCCAUCCCGAACAGAGAAGUUAAGCCCUGCAGCGCCGAUGGUACUGGGGUCACACCCGGGAGAGUAGGUCGCCGCCACAU